CUCCUCCAGGCUGGACAACGACGUACUAUCUGGUGGAAAAGUUGUGAAAUUAUUUUACGCUCGGCCGAUUGCGCCUCUUGGUUCAUUGUCAUGGGCAAUCGCGACGGACGUUUUUAGUGGGGACGCGGCAUAAGGAGUCAGCCGAUACGUUGCAUAUUGUGAACAAUGCAAACUGGUCCGUGACGGAAAUGGCAACUGGUUUCUGGAUUACGUAGUUGCUGGCUCAUCCAUAUUAGUUCUGGACUAUGGAAAGAAUGCAACGUCAACCGACAGACUGUUAAGAUGGCGCACUGCCGAAGACAGAAGGCGCGUACGGGUAGAAUCAACACGGACGAGGAUGGAGAAAUGGGAAACAUGAAAAAACUUAUGUAAAUAAAAAAAAAUGGGAGUUUAUAGACGGAGCUCGGGUCCCAGACAGUCGGAGAGACGGAGAGACAAGCCGACAUCCUAUAAGACCCAGUUUAUGCAUUCGGCUAACUAGAAAGUUGUCGUAGGUGUUUCAUAGAGGCAGCAGGACGUCUCCUCGGACCAUCAAGGAUCCAUCCUGCUCGUAAACACGACACAUUUGACCUUCCGAUAUUUUAUUCUUGGUCCAGGACCUGUUUCCUGUGACAUAACCCAGCGUGAUCAUCGCCCACGUGACUACCUAUCUCCAUACAUAGCAUACAUAAAUAUCUCUGUAUACGAGACAUACGCAUAUAUAAAGAAUCUUUAGUAUUUCAAGGUUUACACUGAUACAAGA